AUCCCUACAGUACGGAGGUCAUGGACAACUCGUCAAACCCCAUCGUCUGUCAUAUGUGAAGAUUUAUUCGACUUAAGUUCGAGAGUGGAAAACUCUUUUUACACUGUGCAUACUGCUCCGGCCGAGGUCUUACGAACUCAGUCUUAUAAAUCACAUAGGAUCUCUCCUUAUCUAUCAAGGUCGAUAGAUUCCUUAUAGGUGCAUAUCCUACUCCUACAGUGAACCUACUGCAGCCAAUCUACACUGCAUGGACCCAUAUUGUUGCCCAGAGAUGGUCACCCAAGAGGGGGGUGAAUUGAGUGUUUUAAAACUCUUCGGCUAAUUAAAAAUAAAACACACAAAUAUAUGAAAUAAGGUAAUGAUAGUGGGAUGAGAAGAGACAAUCACAAACACACGGUUUUAUAGUGGUUCGGAGCUUCCACCGCUCCUACAUCCACUCCCCAAAGCGCCUUUGGGUAUUUCCACUAUAAUCCAAGAUUACAGUACAGUAGUUUUGCGAGUUUACUACCCAACUCGUUGUUUUACACCGGGCUCACAACAACCC
rnacentral:lncRNA from 1 species